rnacentral:lncRNA from 1 species
UUUAGCGGGGAUGGUCUAUUCGCCUUCGCUGUGCAGUCGCCGUCUGACACUGCGCUGGGGCCACUUAAUAACGCCUCUGAAUGGCGUUUGCAGAUGGGUAACGCCAUGGAGCAGGAGAGCUUAAAUGGUGCUCGACAGCGCAGAAGAGCCGAGAAGCUUAUCUUAUCGG